rnacentral:lncRNA from 1 species
UACAAACGGCUCGUAAGCCACUGCAUUCACAAGCUUCUGCUCGAUCAUGGUUGCCAUGGACAUCCCCGUCGCCGCCGGUAAAGAACACGACGACCUAGGUGGUUGUAACAUGUGUUUGUUCCUAUGUUCCGUACUAGGUUUAGUGUUAGUACUCCGCCGCCUUUUGGGUUGUUCUUCAGGAACAAUAACCUCUUUCUUUGGUGGUUUGACUUGUUGUUUCCUCUCUGGUAACCAUCUGAGAAAGUCCCUUCGACAGACCCAUGUUUCUUCAGGUUUAGUGUCAGUACUCCGCCGCCUUUUGGGUUGUUCUUCAGGAACAAUAACCUCUUUCUUUGGUGGUUUGACUUGUUGUUUCCUUUCUGGUAACCAUCUGAGAAAGUCCCUUCGACAGACCCAUG